AUGUGCGAAUGUAUCAUGUAGCACUUAUAUUCUUAAUGUUGCUGUUAUUUCUCUAGCUAUGAGCGAGGUCCUGCAACAUCGACCCCUAUGAAGGGAAAAACCCCUCAAGGCGCAGCUCCAGCAUUGUCCAGCAUAGGUACUUCAAGUGGGACAGACAGGCAAGUAAUUUCAGUGAAUUAACUGUGCCGUCCUAAUAUGUUUGAUUAUAAGUAAAGUAGCUUAUUUAUAAGUUUUUCUUUCUAAAUUCAUGUUUCCUCUCCGUAUGUGUGAUAUAUGGAUCAUCAUCACAGUCUUGACAUGUGGCAUGGUGCCAAAAACCUGGCCAAAAAAAUUGCUGCAGCAGCAAAGAUAAAAGGACAGUCCCUUCUCCUCAACUGGCUAAAAGACAUCAUAAACCAUUUUUGGUGGUGCUGUAAGACAGCUGACACAACCGAGGAGUUUCUUACACUGUGGACUGGUAUCCUUCAUCAUGUUUGUAACCAUCACACCUGGGAAUAUGGAAGCUGCCAACAUGACCACCUGGAAGACACUCGUGAAAAGGAGUGGAUCAAGAGGGACUCGAAGUGCCACAAUGCGCUGGUGGACAUUGUUUACAAAAUGAGACAUAAUAAGCUCUUGAAAUGUUUUGUCUGUUUGACACUAAAUGCUGCAUUUUUAUGAUUGUGUGCCAGCAGAUCUAUUGCUAUUGUCUACAUAAAAAUGUGUGGCCUACAAUUUCUUUAUAAAUAAGUCUUUCAUUUUACAAAUGUCAGUAUUUACAGUUUUUUACACAUUUUUGGUAUCAAAAUUGUAAGGUACACUUGUCCCUUGUAAUGAACAGUACAUGCAUACAUUGUGUGUGGCAAUAUGUCACAGUGACAAAUGAUAGUAAUUAAAAGGUAA